rnacentral:rRNA from 1 species
UACGUAGGGUGCAAGCGUUAAUCGGAAUUACUGGGCGUAAAGCGUGCGCAGGCGGUUGUGCAAGACAGAUGUGAAAUCCCCGGGCUUAACCUGGGAAUUGCAUUUGUGACUGGCAGGCUUUGAGUGUGGCAGAGGGAGGUAGAAUUCCACGUGUAGCAGUGAAAUGCGUAGAGAUGUGGAGGAAUACCGAUGGCGAAGGCAGCCUCCUGGGCCAACACUGACGCUCAUGCACGAAAGCGUGGGGAGCAAACAGG